rnacentral:rRNA from 1 species
CGGAACGUGCCCAAUCGUGGGGGAUAACGCAGCGAAAGCUGUGCUAAUACCGCAUAAGAUCUACGGAUGAAAGCAGGGGAUCGCAAGACCUUGCGCGAAUGGAGCGGCCGAUGGCAGAUUAGGUAGUUGGUGAGGUAAAGGCUCACCAAGCCUUCGAUCUGUAGCUGGUCUGAGAGGACGACCAGCCACACUGGGACUGAGACACGGCCCAGACUCCUACGGGAGGCAGCAGUGGGGAAUUUUGGACAAUGGGCGAAAGCCUGAUCCAGCCAUGCCGCGUGCAGGAUGAAGGCCUUCGGGUUGUAAACUGCUUUUGUACGGAACGAAAAGUCUCUUUCUAAUAAAGAGGGAUCAUGACGGUACCGUAAGAAUAAGCACCGGCUAACUACGUGCCAGCAGCCGCGGUAAUACGUAGGGUGCAAGCGUUAAUCGGAAUUACUGGGCGUAAAGCGUGCGCAGGCGGUUAUAUAAGACAGUUGUGAAAUCCCCGGGCUCAACCUGGGAACUGCAUCUGUGACUGUAUAGCUAGAGUACGGUAGAGGGGGAUGGAAUUCCGCGU